rfam:Streptomyces sp. TSRI0281 scaffold3, whole genome shotgun sequence.
CACCGAGUCCGAGGCUCCGGAGCACACCGGGGCCUGGUGCAAAAGGGA